GGGGAUUUAGCUCAGUGGUAGAGUGCUUGCCUGGCAAGCACAAGGCCCUGGGUUCAGUCCCCA
rnacentral:tRNA from 1 species